rnacentral:rRNA from 1 species
UGGGGAAUAUUGCACAAUGGAGGAAACUCUGAUGCAGCGACGCCGCGUGAGCGAUGAAGGCUUUCGAGUCGUAAAGCUCUGUCCUAGGGGACGAUAAUGACGGUACCCUAGGAGGAAGCCCCGGCUAACUACGUGCCAGCAGCCGCGGUAAUACGUAGGGGGCGAGCGUUGUCCGGAAUUAUUGGGCGUAAAGGGUUCGCAGGCGGCCUUUUAAGUCAGAUGUGAAAGCCCACGGCUUAACCGUGGUAAGCAUUUGAAACUGGAAGGCUUGAGUUAAGGAGAGGAAAGUGGAAUUCCUAGUGUAGCGGUGAAAUGCGUAGAUAUUAGGAGGAGUACCAGUGGCGAAGGCGACUUUCUGGACUUAUACUGACGCUGAGGAACGAAAGCGUGGGGAGCAAACA